UUUGGGGAUUGGAGGAGCAAGGGCAGCAAAAGAAAGGAAUAAUAUGACUUCUGCUUGGACAGGAAGAGGGAAAGGGACUUGAAGAGAGUUUAGGGAAGGGAGUGGGAUAGAAAGAAAGCCAGGUAAAAGGAGAGAGGGAGACACAUGGAAGGCAGUUAGCAAGGUACAGAGUCAGGGAUUGGAAGGUAGGGUAUAAGUAGGAAACAUGUGGGAGGAGAACUAAAAGGAUGGUAUCAGAGCAGACUCUGCGAUCAGUGAGUUUGCAGGGCAGGAAGAUGCCGGAGCGGCUGUGGCUGCUUCUCACCCUCCUGACCCUCCCGCACUACGGGCGCUCUCAGACUCUCCACCAGACCCCCAGCUUCAUUUCUCUGCCCCCCGGCUCCUCUGUCCAGCUGCACUGCUACCUGCAGGGAUACAAUGCAGAGCCCUACAUGUACUGGUACCGGCAGCCUCCCCAGGGAGGAGCCCUGCACAUGCUCUUUCUCUCCAGAAUCAAGGGUUCGAUUGACGACAGUUCGGAGAAACACUUUAAAGCUGCCCGACCGACCCAGCAGAACUUCACGCUGAGCACAGACAGCCUCUUCCCCAACCACACGGGGCUCUAUUACUGCGCCUGGAGCCACACACUGAGCCAAGCGGGUGCAGCCCCUGGACAAAAACUCCCCCUCCCCCUGUCCCUGUGA